UACGAAGGGGGCGAGCGUUGUUCGGAUUUACUGGGCGUAAAGGGCGCGCAGGCGGCUUAUUUUGUCAGGCGUGAAAGCCCCGGGCUUAACCUGGGAACUGCGUUUGAUACGGAUGGGCUAGAGUUCGGGAGAGGAGCGUGGAAUUCCCAGUGUAGAGGUGAAAUUCGUAGAUAUUCGGAAGAACACCAGUGGCGAAGGCGACUUACUGGACACAUAUUGACGCUGAGGUGCGAAAGCGUGGGGAGCAAACAGG
rnacentral:rRNA from 1 species